rnacentral:rRNA from 1 species
UACGGAGGGGACUAGCGUUGUUCGGAAUUACUGGGCGUAAAGCGCACGUAGGCGGAUUUGUAAGUCAGGGGUGAAAUCCCGGGGCUCAACCUCGGAACUGCCUUUGAUACUGCAAAUCUCGAGUCCGGAAGAGGUGAGUGGAAUUCCUAGUGUAGAGGUGAAAUUCGUAGAUAUUAGGAAGAACACCAGUGGCGAAGGCGGCUCACUGGUCCGGUACUGACGCUGAGGUGCGAAAGCAUGGGGAGCGAACGAGGAU